rnacentral:lncRNA from 1 species
CUAGGUACUAGACUAGAGGUGAAAAAUUCUAUAUCUGAAUUUUAAUUUAAUGGACUAUUAGUGCUUUCCGGAAGGAAGAUUAUAUGACUGAAAUUAUACUUUGAUAUGUGUGUAAGACUGUAUUGUUUCUUUACUCAAUAAUGAUAGGUCACUUCUAGUGUUGCUUUUUUUUUUUUUUUCUAGACAAGGUCUUGUUCUGUAACCCAGGCUUGAGUGCAGUGGUGCAGUCAUGGCUCACUGCAGCCUUGACCUCCUGAGCUUAAGUUCCCUGGGUAGCUGAGACAACAGGCGUGUGCCACCAUGCCUGGGAAAUUUUUGUAUUUUUUGUACAGAUGGGGUUAUGCCAUGUUGCCCAGGCUGGUCUCCAAAUCCUGGGUCAAGCAAUCAACCCAUCUCAGCCUCCCAGAGUGCUGGAAUUACAUGCAUGAGCCACCGUACCCAGCCCUGCUUUCUGUUUUCAACAGAACCUGAAUUCUAACUCAAUAAUCUACUGUCCUUAUAUGGGCAUGCAUUUCACUAAGCCAUGGUGAUUUUCUUUUCCUUGUAAAAUUGUAAAUAAUAAUAGUAUUCAAACCAUCGUUUUAAAAGAAUCACUGUAAAUUAUUUUUUAUGAAAAACAUUAAUGGUCUUAAUAUUUAAGGCAAAUUUCAAAAUAUUUGUAUUGCCUUAAGUAUAGAUGUAGACAAUGGAAUGGAAUUUUGCUGCUAGAACUGUUACAUAUGAAAGAGAUCCUGGUUACCCUGAGUUACGGGCUGUGUUGUAACCAUGCAGGAACUUCAGCCUCCUCAGAAGAAUGUCUUAGACUGAGGGACACAAAGCAGAAAAAGAGAUCAAGGCAAGUUCCAGAGCAGGAGUGGAAGUUUCUUAAAAAGACUUAGAACAGUAAAGAAAGGAAAGGACCCUUGGAAGAGACACAAGACUCCAGUUAUACAUAUUUCAGGAAGCUUAAUACAAUCCCAGAGACACAAAAAGAUGGAAUUUGGAGGACAAGACAAGAGAUACUAAGAAGAGUAAAGCCAAUAAACAGACUGCAGCACAGAAAGGGUCCAGGACCAGGGAGGUGGCUUGUUCAGGAAAGAGUUAACUCAACAGGUCUGGGAUAUUCAAAUCCCACACAUUUCAAAAUAAAGCUCUGUCCUCAUUGGCUAUUGGGAGAAAAUCUCUACGUCUUUGGACUAUUCUUCCAGUUUCGUGUGACUUGGGAUACCUCAGGAAACUUACAAUUACAGUGGAAGUGGAAGCAGGCACAUCUUACAUGAAGGUAGGAGAAAGAGGGAGGGAGUGAAGGAGAAAGAGCCCCUUAUAAAACCAUCAGAUCUUGUGAGAACUCACUCACUAUCAGUAGAACAGAAUGGGGGAAACCACCCUUGUGAUCCAAUCACUUCCCAUCAGGUCCUUCCCUUGAUAUAUAGGGAUUUGGGGGAUUACAAUUCAAGAUGAGAUUUGGUGGGGACACCAAGUCAAACCAUAUCAACUUGCAUUUGCAACUGUGCUCCCUCUUCGUGCUCUGAGAGUAUGGGUUCCUCUCCUACUAAAGUCCUGGCUGCAGAUUUUGGCUUGGCGUUCCUUGGCUGCACAUCAUCAUAGCCCUGGGGUGAACUCAGCCUUUAUGUUCUCUCUCCAGCUUGGCGGGCACCAGGUGAAGGGAUUUUGAAAGAGGCAAUGGCAGAGGGCCUUUCACUUGUCUCUUGCAGCUCUACCCCAGAGAAAUGCAGAGCUGCUACCAAUCAGAGCAAUCAGCCCAGUGCGGGGUAUCUGUACUGUGGGCCCAAGCUGGGGCCUUCACCUUGUUCCUACAAAAAGAAGGGGCAGGGGCUCCUAUAGAAGACAGGCUGGCCUCUUAUCUUUAUGGUGGCUGUGUUGUGCUGGAGUAAAUCACUCAGGGUCUUUGUUUCUUCCUCAGUCUGAGGGAAGCAAGGGCAGUACCACUGCGUGGCAGUGGCAGAAGGGCUUUCAGUUGCCUCUGAAAGCUCUACGCCAGAGAAAUGCAGAGCCUCCUCCAAUGACAAUGUUCAGCCAGGGGGUGGGGUGACUGCACUGUGGUUACAAGCUGGGGACCCUGCUUGGUGAAGAACAGGGUGUCAGGGGCUCACAGAGAAAGGAGAUUGGGCUCUUCUCCAUAUGGCAACUCUGGCAUGCUCGAGGCACAAGUAAAGCCCUAGGCUGUUUCUUUGCCAAUAUGAGGACAACAAAGGCAAAACAACUGUGGUGGCAAUGGCAAAGAGGCUAUCAGUUGCCGCUGGGAGCUGCACCCCAGGUAAACAGAGCCACCACCAGUGGGAAUGCUCAGUUGGAGUUGGGGGUGGGGCAUCUGCUUUGUGAUCCUGAGCCAGGCACCUUUCAUUUUGAGCAGUAGAGGGUGGAGGUUCACAGGGAAGAGAGGUUGGGCACCUCUCUGUGUGGUGGUUGCAGCAUGCUGAAGAUGCCAGUCACACAAUCAGGCCCUUCCUUUCUUCCUUAGGCCUAGGACCAUAAGGGUGUUACCACUGGAGCUGUAAUAGGAGAGGGACUGUAAAGGGAGAGUGGUUGUCUCUGGGAUUUUCUCCCCACAAAACAAAGACCUGUCACCAACUAAAGUGUUCAGUUUGCGGCAGGGAGGCUGUGCUGGGGGGGGGGGGGCCAGGUUCAGAGGCCCUGUUCAGUGAGGAGUAACACGGGCAGGGAACUCCUUGAAAAACAGUCUGGCUGCUUUUCCAUAAGGCAGCUGUGCUGUACUGGAGGCCUGAGUUAGUCCUUAGACUUUUUUCUUGCUCCUAAUCCUGAGAGCAAUAGGAGUAGGAGCUGUAGAGCAAUAAAAAUGGUGGGCCUUCUUGCUAUAAGUGGGGGCACCAGGUGAAGGGAUUUUGAAUUAGGCAAUGGAAGAACGCCUUUCACCUGGGACAGAGCUCUGUCGCAGGAAGCACAGAGGUGCUACCAGUCUUCGUUAUUGUUUGUCAUACAAAUUUUUGGAGGCAACCUAAAUACCACUCAAUAAAUAGACAGUUAA